GACCGAGUGCCCGAGGGGCCAGGGAACGGUCCGCAAAACCGUGUACGCGGGUUCGAAUCCCGCCUCGGUCUCGA
rnacentral:tRNA from 1 species